UAGCUCAGUCAGUUGAGCGUAGCGCUAACAACACUAAGGUCGCAGGUUCGAUUCCUGU
rnacentral:tRNA from 1 species